AAGAAGGUUUGAGAAGGCAUUCAAACAAAAUGGCCGACCAACCCCAAAAGAAAGUUGAUUUGGGACUUCUUGAAGAAGAUGACGAAUUUGAAGAGUUUCCAACAGAUGAUUGGACGGAAGCAGAAGAAACACAAGAAGAAAAUGUGUGGGAAGAUAACUGGGAUGAUGAUAAUGUGGAGGACGAUUUCUCACAACAGCUCAGGGCAGAGUUGGAGAAACAAGGACACAAGGAAGAGCCCAUGAAGACAUAGAACCAUUAAAAGGAUGCUAAUAAACUUUGUGUAGUUUUCAUCAAGACCAAAAACUGCCUGCAAUCAUUAAUGUGACACAUUUAACAUUAGUCAUGAGUUUUGAAAUGUGAUAAAGCAUUACAAGAAAGCAAGAGCAGAGACAUACAAGGAUGGAGAUAUUUGUGGUAGCAUGGAUAUUUAAUGGACUAUUUUGUCACAUGCACUAGAUUGUUGGAUUAUGGAGGUUGUAAAAUAAAAAAUGCUCGGACAAGGCACACACAUAUGUACUCUGUGUACAGUUGAUGCUGUUUGAUAUAAAAGAGCAAAUGAUUGCAUCAGAAAGAUUUGUAUUCUUUUUUUACACUCAGUUUUGCACUGAUUUAUCAUUUAAAUAAAUAAUAUUAUGUGGUUGGAAAUGAU